rnacentral:lncRNA from 1 species
CAUGGCAUCAUCAGCAAUUCCCAGUUCAUUCCUGCCUCCGUCUCCAGUAGCUUGCUUUGCUCGCAGAUUGUUCCUUUUUUCUUUUUCUCCGGCGACUCGAGAUCGUGGCUAGCUAGAGCCUAGAUGGCCUCUUCCAUGGCGGGCGCGGCGGGGGAGGAGAAGGCGGCGGCGGGGGGCGGGGCGGCGGGGGAUGAUCGUGAUCGACCGGCAGGCCGUCGACCGGGGGAUCGCCUACGCGCUCAUGGUCGUCGCGCUCGUCGCCACCUACGCGCUCCACUAGCUCGAUCAAUCGGCUCAGGGAGGAGGAGGAGGAGAAGAAGAAGUCGUUCCCCUUCCCCUACCAACCUGCACUUCGAUCGAUCGAUGCCAAAAGUCUAUAACUAUAGAACCUGAUUCUUUCUUAUUCAAUUCUUCUUUUUAGAGAAGGUUAAUUAAUUGUGUGUGUGUGUGUGUGAGAGAGAGAGAGAGAGAGAGAGAUCGAUGGAUAAUUUGGAUAUGUACACUAUACCAAGUGGGUUAAUUAACUGGAUGUACUCUUCUGCAUAUUUUGGUGUUCAUUGGUAACAGUUUGGCAUUGGAAUGUCUGGUAAAUCGAUGAUUUACCCCUUUCGCCUCCAAAUACAGAUUUAAAUAUUAUUUUGUACUAGAGAAGUAGAAAUGUAGUGAUAUUUUCGGGAGCAGUUGAUAAUCUGAAUGCUCUGCCACAUCUUCACAGGUUGAACAAUCAAAUUACGUAUUGGCUGGUUAUACUUGU